UUACGGCCACAUCACCUAGAAACGCUGAUUCCCAUCCGAUCACCAAGGUUUAGCAGCACUGAGCCUGGUCUGUACCUAGAUGGGUUACCAGUUGGGAAUACCAAGUGCUGUAAG